rnacentral:rRNA from 1 species
UACGUAGGGGGCAAGCGUUAUCCGGAUUUACUGGGUGUAAAGGGAGCGUAGACGGUUCGGCAAGUCUGAAGUGAAAGGCGGGGGCUCAACCCCCGGACUGCUUUGGAAACUGUCGGACUAGAGUACCGGAGGGGUAAGCGGAAUUCCUGGUGUAGCGGUGAAAUGCGUAGAUAUCAGGAGGAACACCGGUGGCGAAGGCGGCUUACUGGACGGCAACUGACGUUGAGGCUCGAAAGCGUGGGGAGCAAACAGGAUUAGAUACCGGGUAGUCC